rnacentral:rRNA from 1 species
GACGAACGCUGGCGGCGUGCCUAAUACAUGCAAGUCGAGCGGAUUGAUGGGAGCUUGCUCCCUGAUAUCAGCGGCGGACGGGUGAGUAACACGUGGGCAACCUGCCUAUAAGACUGGGAUAACUUCGGGAAACCGGAGCUAAUACCGGAUAAUCCCUUUCCUCUCAUGAGGAAAGGCUGAAAGAUGGUUUACGCUAUCACUUAUAGAUGGGCACGCGGCGCAUUAGCUAGUUGGUGAGGUAACGGCUCACCAAGGCAACGAUGCGUAGCCGACCUGAGAGGGUGAUCGGCCACACUGGGACUGAGACACGGCCCAGACUCCUACGGGAGGCAGCAGUAGGGAAUCUUCCGCAAAGGACGAAAGUCUGACGGAGCAACGCCGCGUGAGUGAUGAAGGUUUUCGGAUCGUAAAACUCUGUUGUUAGGGAAGAACAAGUACGAGAGUAACUGCUCGUACCUUGACGGUACCUAACCAGAAAGCCACGGCUAACUACGUGCCAGCAGCCGCCGCCG